AAGCGCCUGUUAGGCAUUAGCAGCGCUCGGUAGCAAUACCGAGAUGAAAAUUGGGUGAAUUCAGGGAAGCCUUAACUGGUAAUCCUGAGCCAAGCCCCGACGAAAGCCGGGGAAGGUGCAGAGACUAGGUGAGUACACCAUUUAGCGCCCGACUCCGACGUAACGUCGGAGAAGAGAUAGUCCACGCCACAAGGAAACUUGUGG
rnacentral:ncRNA from 1 species